CAUUUUAAGGGAAAUUUAUUUUUUGACCCAUUUUCGCAUUUUUCACAAAUCCUUUUAAGAUCUCUGAAGAUGUCUCGGAUAAACUACACUACUGUAUCAUAUGGCUUCCAUAGGAAGGAUCGCAGAAAUUAUGUCAAAAUUAUACAAAAAUCAUUAUAUUUCGUUAUUGGCAAAACGUAUACGCUAGUAAAUUGAAAUGUUCAAUUAUCUUAACAUUUCUGUGAAAAUGUUUCAAUUUUCAAAAAAUCGGAAGGCCCUGAACGACUUGCAAGGGCAUAUAAACUGUCAAAGUAGGCUUCCUUUCUUGUUUCUUAAAAUUGUAGUUAUAUUUUCAGAAGUAAGCAGUGAUUUCAGUGUCAGUGUUUAACUUUUUCUUUUAUUAGCCAAACACUAUUAAACAGCAAACAAGAAAUUUUUGAAAAAAUCGAAAUUUAUAGUUUAUCAUUUUUGUGAAAUGGCUUAUUCUUCUAUAGCCGGUGGCUUGAUUAUGGCUGCUCUUCGGGAAAAGGGCGAACCCUUGACUUUCCGGGAAAUUGUGAAACACAUAGCCUGCAAUCUUGGUGUUCAGAGUAAAGACUUCAAGGACAGCAUAGAGAUUGCCUUGCAUCUUGGCGUUCAACGGGGAUUUAUCCAGAAGAGUGGACACCGAUUCUUUGUGAAAGACGAGUUCCCAGACGAAAUAAUAAGAGCUGCUGCUGAAUUAGUUUUUAAAAAGGAAAAAGAGCAAACAUGCCAACAGAAACUUGUGGACCAAAUAAUCAAAGCCCCACAGGAGCAAACGUCCAAGAAUCAAACCAAAAAUAUGGUGGAAGUUUUAUCGUAUUCUGAUGAAGAAGAUGCUAUGGUCUUUAAUAUUUUAAGACCAGAGGCAAGCAUGGUACAUUCUAAUGGAAUUAAAUCUACGCCUUCCAAUGGCAUGGGAAAAAUGGAGAAAGAUUCAAAGUCUUCGGAUCUUACAGUUGAAAGCGAAUAUUCUGAUGAGAGCAUUUCAAUAUUUGACGAGCAGAAAGAUUCGAGGAUGUCAUUUACUGGUGAAAGUUGUUCCGAAGAUGAGCAAAUUUUACUAAAUAUUAAGUAGAACAUUUCCACGACGUCAAAUACCAAUGGAACAGCCAAUUAAGUUGUUCAAAUGAAGAAGACGGUUCGGUGUUAAACGAAGAUAUCGGAUCAAAGAGGACAGUUAUGAGUAUAAGAUCUAAAGAGAGUUACUUUGAAUGGUGUAAUAUAAGAUAAUUUCCACGUGCCAUCUUGUCAAGAAACAAUAUUAAAAAAAUAGUCCUUGGUUGCAUUGGUACAGAAGAUGUGUAUGAAAUGCCUACCGUUCCACAUCAAAAGGACACUUGGCAAGUGCUCGACCGUCCCAAUUACUGAAUUGCAGAUGCAGAUAGACAAUUGUCAAUGUCAAUAAUGGUUAAUACUUAACGGCCAGCUGCUUGAAGCAGCUUUUGUGUGGGAAGCUGUUCGUGUGGGUGUCAGAUCAAUAGGCCGACCUUCGGCCAAACUGCCCGCCCAUUUGCCCAUUGGCCCAUUCCACGCCCCCCGUUGGCGCGCCCCCAGUGCCACGCCCCCCGCUGCCUAGUUAGCCAUUUGACAGAUUUCAGCCAGCAUUUCAGACAGUUUAAAGUCGCUGCGGGGGCAGGGAAAAUGGAAAAUGUGGAAAUGGGGACUGGGAAAAGGGGACUGGGAAUGCGUCUGACCUAGGCCCCAAUGCCUGUGAAGGACACUCGAGCUGUGUUUUAAUUGCAGGUAUUAUGUCUUUCUCAGGGGCCCGCACAAGUGUGACCCCUGCACUGGGAAAAACAAUGGAGCAUUUGGAAUGUAAUGGCUAACGAAACACUCUCCGAAAAUCCCUCAGUCAAAAUAUAUAUUCCUGGAUUUUGUAAAAAAAUAAUGUUAUCCUUGAAAUAAAAUUAUUGUCAGAGUAAGAGUUAUCUAUACUUAUUAUAUACAUAGUAACUGGAGAGUAAAGAAAGUCUGUGGGAUAGGG